UCUCAUCUUCUUGAAAUUUUCUCAAAGACGAUUCCGUCAAGACUCAAGACUCUCCUCUGUUGGGCUCUCCACAUCAUUCAAUCUCUUGGUCUCCACCUACAAAGUCUCCCUACCUGCACGAACAUCUCAUCAGUCUCCUCCUCUCAAUUUCUUGAUUGGAAUUUAAGGUGACCGGGCCGACCCAGAUAGCUUCAUCUUCUCUUUGUGCACCUCCCUGUGGUGGUGGAUCGUGGAGUAGCACGCCAGUUUCCACGCAUCGAAGCCCGGAAGCGACCCGGAUACCCGUCGGUGACCCGGUUGUGUUUUUCAAUUUUUCGGCGAUCUCCGGCGAGUUUAGGCUUCACCACCGGUCUCAAACUCUUUGUCUCAACAUCGUCAACAACUCCUCCAAAGGUUUUGAGCUAAAUCGAAAGACUAGUAUUCGGACGUGUUGGCAUGUCGGAACCGAGCCUUGGUCGGACGAAAGUUACGAUACAGUUAGAGCUCUAGUCUGUCUGCCGGUGUACUGCAUGAGGAGUAACAUAUGGGUUACCAGCUUAUGAGUACCCAUAUUUUUGGGAUUUUUGGGUGACAGAUGGAUUGCCCAAUGCCCGGCAGUGUACUGCACGAGGGGUAACGGAUGAGAACCUGGGUCUCAUGAGUACCCGUAUUAUAAAUGUAAUUGGGUAAACAGAUGGGUUGCCUGAUUUCUCAUAAGCACUUAUAUUUUCAGAUAUUAUUGGACAACCAGAUGGGCCGUCCUGUGACUCAUGAGUGCAUUUAUAAUUGAUUGUUUCAGUAUUUACUGUCGUAUUACUAUGCAUGUUAUUUUGUUAUUUUACUCAU